rnacentral:misc_RNA from 1 species
GGAAGGAUCAUUACUGUUUUUAAAACUUUUUACGUGUGUUUCAGUUGGAAUGUGAAUUCGGUUUUUUACAACGCUGGUGUUUUUACAACAUUUAUAAAAUUAUGAGUCCAAGCAAUGGAUAUCUUGGUUCCCACAACGAUGAAGAACGCAGCGAAAUGCGAUAUGUAAUGUGAAUUGCAGGGUUAAGUGAAUCAUCAAAUUUUUGAACGCAAGUUGCGCCUUUCUGAGGCAUGCUUCUUUGAGUGUCGGUUUCCAAUCUAGGUGGAUUGUUUGCGUUUCGUGCGCCAAAUGUCCUGGUCCCCUCUGCAGCUGGUGUCGUUUGAUUCUCAGACGCCGUGGCUGAUUGGCUGUUCGUUCAGCACCCCAGACCUCAAAUGAAGUAAGACUACCCGCUGAAUUUAAGCAUAUAAUUAAGCGGAGGAAAAGAAACUAACGAGGAUUCCCUCAGUAACGGCGAGUGAAGCGGGAAGAGUUCAAACCUAGAAUCGCUCCGGCGAAUUGUGGUGUGUAGACGCGUGUCCCAGCGCCCGUGCAGGUGGAAGUCGGCUGGAAAGCCGCAUCAGAGAGGGUGAAAAUCCCGUUUGACACUUGCAUCGCGGGCGUGUUCGGGCCGUUGUCUUUGAGUCGGGUUGCUUGAGAGUGCAGCCCUAAGUGGGUGGUAAAUUCCAUCUAAAACUAAAUAUGUGUGGGAGACCGAUAGCGAACAAGUACCGUGAGGGAAAGAUGAAAAGAACUUUGAAAAGAGAGUUAAAAAGUACUUGAAAUUGUUUGGAUUGAAGGGAUGACGCCCAGUGGUCAGGAUGGUUUGCCAGGCGGGUUUGCUGUUUCCGGGGGUAGGUAGCGCCGUUCACGCGGCGUGUUUUAGCCCCGGUUCCAGAUCCCGUCGGCGAGCGAGGUCAUGGACAGAUCCUGACAAAAUGGUCGUCAUUCACCCGUCUUGAAACACGGACCAAGGAGUCUUACAUGUGUGCGAGUGUUAGUGUGGCAAGCAUUAUCGCGUAAUGAAAGUGAACUUGUUUUCAAACAAGGGCGGCUACGGUACGACCCUGAGCAUACAUGCAGGGACCCGAAAGAUGGUGAACUAUGCCUGGGCAGGAUGAAGCCAGGGGAAACUCUGGUGGAGGUCCGAAGCGAUACUGACGUGCAAAUCGUUCGUGUGAGCUGGGUAUAGGGGCGAAAGACUAAUCGAACCGUCUGGUAGCUGGUUCCCUC